CCUACGGGAGGCAGCAGUGAGGAAUUUUCCGCAAUGGGCGAAAGCCUGACGGAGCAAUGCCGCGUGGAGGAGGAAGGCCUGUGGGUCGUAAACUCCUUUUCUCAGAGAAGAAGUUCUGACGGUAUCUGAGGAAUAAGCAUCGGCUAACUCUGUGCCAGCAGCCGCGGUAAUACAGGGGAUGCAAGCGUUAUCCGGAAUUAUUGGGCGUAAAGCGUCCUGAGGUGGCUUACCCAGUCGACUGUGAAAGCUCAAGGCUUAACCUUGAAACGGCAGUCGAAACUUGUAAGCUUGAGUACGGUAGGGGCAGAGGGAAUUCCCGGAGGAGAGGUGAAAUUCGUAGAUAUCGGGAGGAAGGCCAAAGGCGAAAGCACUCUGCUGGGCCGAUUACUGACACUGACAGACGAAAGCUAGGGGAGCGAAAGGGAUUAGAUACCCCUGUAGUCCUAGCCGUAAACGAUGGAUACUAAGUGUUGCGCGACUCAAAACGUGCAGUGCUGCAGCUAACGCGGUAAGUAUCCCGCCUGGGGAGUAUGCCGCAAGGGUGAAACUNAAAGGAAUUGACGNNGAGAGNGCGAGACGACGACGAGGAGAGG
rnacentral:rRNA from 1 species